AUGGCCGUGUUGGAGAACGCGGUCCUUGCGUCGCAGCUGGUCGAGGCCCGCCGGAUGGGCGAAGAGACCCGGUCUACCGCCGCGUCCGCCGCACAGGAGGCUGCCCGCGAGAAGGCCGUCUUGGCGGCGCAGGCGGCGGACCGGGGUGAGGCCCUGGCGAGCUCCCGCCGCGACCUCGAGGCCGUCAGGCAACAAGUCGCCUCUCUUCAUGGCCGGCUUGUCACUGUGGCCACGGAGAGGGACCGGCUUCUGGCUAUUGCCCGCGAUCGCGAUACGGAGCUCACCGCCGCGUGCUCGGAACUUGAAGAGCUGCACUCCCGACGAGCAAAGGAUGCCGCCGUGGUGAACGAGGCCCUCACCCAGCAUGAGGAGCUGAUGGCGCUCACGCAGCGGCUCGCCGAGGGUGCAAUAGGUACGUACCGUGACUCCCCGCCUUGCUUGGCCGUGAAGGUGAUUUUUCUGUGGCGCGCCCUUCUUCUUCCUCUACCCUUUCUCAGGAAAAGUCACGGAGCUCAAGCUGUCUAG
rnacentral:rRNA from 1 species